GUAGCCACGACUCUACAGUAGUCCACGACUCGGUGUCAGUCCCGAACGGGGCGUCGCGUAUUCGAUGGCCAUCAGCCAGCACCGCGCACAGCAAGCGGAGGGUCCCACUCUUAUCGGGCAUCUCGCCACUGGAAUAUCACAAAACUACGAAUUGAAGGGCGCAAAAUGACCAACACCAGGACUACCACCACCAACCACCACACGUCAUGAGUUUGGCCGCUUUAGGGGGGAGAACAGGUGGCAUGCAGCGAGGCGACCGGUGGCGCUCACCAACAACAGCGAAAAACCCGAAGGCACCCAGAAGGGCGUGCAGCGGUGAUCAGAGGAGACCAGGGCUGCUGACCCGUUCUUGAUCAAGCCCGACUCUGUAGGACGGAUGCAGGCUUCGUCUGCACCCCCCCCCCGCCCACCCCACCCCCAGUACUGAAUUGCUUCGAGUCAUUUUCCCAGGUGAAAAUCUGCACCCACGGCGAUUCGACCGUCACGCAUCACGGUCGCCAUUCACUUCCAAUAUUUUUUGCCUUUGUUUUUUUUUGGUUAUAGCCCAUUGAGCUGUUUUUUUGUUGUAUCUUUUCUGACAGUUCUGUUUUAUUCCAUUAGUUCUUAAUGUGAUAUUGGUGUAAUUAUCGUAUAGCUUUGCGUGAAUAAUAAAUAAUAGAUUUUCGACAUGGGCACAAUUCAAUUAACGGACCGUCCGUGUGCUAAAGGAGGGAACGCACCCGAAAUAAUUCCCACCGUGGAAAUGGAAUUAAAUCGGCUCGUGCGCCGGACAAUUGGAUAGAUUGUCGCUUCACAAGACCGUGAGAGAUAGCGAGACGGAGUGGGAAGGCCUUCACCAAGCAGUGGAUAAGAUCGCCGCUGCUGAUGGCGACCAUCGUGUAAAGUGAUUAAUCUAUGCAUCUUUACGCGGCUACCGGUUAAGGCUCUAACACGAGUAUUUUUAAUAAACACGGCAUGACACACGGACAGCCAUCGACAGGAUAUAUAUCGUGAGCCAACAGGUCUGGGCAGUUAAUUGGAAGCUGGCUUCAAUUCAGCUGCCAAUGUUCUAUUUUACUUUGUGCACAGCCACCAAUGCCAGUUUAUUGCCCCGAUCCACUUGAGGUUGUGAACAAAAUGAGAGACCUGAAGACGUCUACGUGCUGUCGGGAAUAUUUCAUAUCCAGAAUGAAUGUUACGUUACAAAGAGGUAAAGGCGUGGCCCUGAAAUGUCUUGCUCACGCCAAUGUUGGUAGAAAGGCUUCCAAUAGAGGGGAGCUCAAUGGAGCUCCUUUCGAGGAAAUGUGGCCUACUCUUCCAUACUCGCCAGAUGUUUUGGAAGAGGCGGACGUACCCUGCGUUUAUGCUGCAGCUGGGUGGAUAGAGGUGACGUGGUGGAGGGGGGGGGGUAGUGGGGAUUCCAGAAACUUGCCUCAUUCUUUCAACUGCCACACCAGGAGAUAGACUCGAACCGGCGCCCCCUGGAUGCCAAGUCGAGUGCGCUGCACCAUUACGCCACUGUGGUCGCAUCCCGGACGGAAGGGUGAUGUGUAAACCCGCAUUAAUGGAGUUGCCCAAACAUAUGACUAUAGGAUCGCAGAGCUCGGACAAUUGUUGAUCGAUUGAUUGUGGUGUACACAUUUAUUCUGCUGAUUGGACGGAGGCAGGGGGAUUUAAGAAAAACUGUUUCUAUCACUCCUGGAGAUGGAAACGAACCUGAGUCCUCCGUUGUGCUCGCUUUUGCAUCACGGCAGCAUCCCGAUCAUCAACAUAUUAACCAUUAGCUAUUCAGAAAUAGCGUCUUAAAGGAAUAUACAUUGUAUUGUUUGGUAUUAAUUUCUUUGGAAUUGUGCUGUGAAUGUUCACUUAAUAUGUAUGCACUACUGUUUUGUUUUUUCGGUAAAGAAACGUAGGUAAAAUAAAAUAAAUGAUUUAAUUUA